GUGAGAUCGGCAGUGGUCGGUGUCGUUUCUCGCUCACUAGCAGUUAACUUGAGGACACGCCCCCGGAAGCAGUCACCGUGCGCUGGGCCUAUAUAAGAUGGCGCAGGGCGGAAACACGUUCUUUCAGUGCGGCCGUUGGGGUGGAAGGUGAUGCCCCCCGGCCGGAGCAUGAUCUGUGACUGACGGCGUGUGAGGAUCUUAAUGAAUUACAUGCGGUAUACAGUAUUUGUGUGAUGUGCUCUCAUCCUGUGAUUAUUUUGUGAAUAAAGUGUUUGGAUUUUUUUCCCCUCAAA